UACAGAGGUCUCAAGCGUUGUUCGGAUUCAUUGGGCGUAAAGGGUGCGUAGGUGGCGGGGUAAGUCAGGUGUGAAAUCUCGAGGCUCAACCUCGAAACUGCACUUGAUACUGCCUUGCUCGAGUACUGGAGAGGAGACUGGAAUUUACGGUGUAGCGGUGAAAUGCGUAGAUAUCGUAAGGAAGACCAGUGGCGAAGGCGGGUCUCUGGACAGUUCCUGACGCUGAGGCACGAAGGCCAGGGGAGCAAACGGG
rnacentral:rRNA from 1 species